UUUUUUUUUUUUUUUUGAGACAGAGUCUCGCUGUGUCGCCCAGGCUGGGGUGCAGUGGUGUGAUCUCGGCUCACUGCAAGCUCCUCCUCCCGGGUUCACGCCAUUCUCCUGCCUCAGCCUCCCAAGUAGCUGGCACUACAGGUACCCGCCACCUCGCCCGGCUAAUUGUUUAUAUUUUUAGUAGAGACGGGGUUUCACCGUAUUAGCCAGGAUGGUCUCGAUCUCCUGACCUUGUGAUCCACCUGCCUCGGCCUCCCAGAGUGCUGGGAUUACAGGCGUGAGUCACUGCGCCUGGCCAACACUGCCAAGGAUUUUACUGUAAAUUUCCUUCCUGGACUUCCCAUAGGCCCCUAAGAACCACAUGCCAGGUGGCUAUGAAGGGAAGGAGAGAAACACAGUCUUUUCAGGGACCUGGCUAUGCAUGGACGUCGAUUCCACAGUGGUCUGCUCGGCAUAGCAGGGGCUUGUGGCCAUCUGGUGAUCCCUGAGUUCUAGCUGAGAUCUGUCUCUGGCGAGGGCAGUGACCUGCUCUCUGGUUUCGGAAUGCAUCAUUGGCACAGACAUCCUCAGAAUCCUACAUUGGUCCCUGACCCAUGGGAUGAGGCAUCUCAUGUUGGAAAAGGCCAGAAGGAGGCCAUAGAGCUGCCUCUUCCCAGGAAAAUAGUUCAUCGAAGUCAGUCCUGCCUCCUGGAGGAACAGCAGAGAAUAGUGCCACCGUCGAGGACCUGAAGAUGCAGGGCUGGAGGUUCCACCACAGCCCAGUUUGCCUCCCUUAUUUGGCCUGUGCAGAAGGCAGAUGGAUCUUGAAGAAGGACAGGGAAUUGCUGUAAAAAUAAUCAGAUGGUGGUUAGUGUAACUACCGCUGCUGACAUGCUUUCAUUGAGCAGCAAAUCCACACGUCCCUCGCGGCCUCACGGGCAGCGUAUUCAUCAGGGCAGGGCUUUGUCUCCACGCCUGCGGGUGAAGACCAUCGGGAGACUCUGCCUUCAACAGGCAAGGCCAACAGUUCACCUUCACUUCCCUCACUCCAGGGACGUCAGCACCCAGCUCAGAGUCGUCCUCUGGUGACGGGAACCCACAUCGCGCUCGCUGCCCUCGCUUGCAGGGAAUCACACACCGCCUCUUCCGUGGGAGGCCAUCAUGUGGACUGGACUCGCUGAGCAGAAAGUAGCCGCUGCCCUCAACACCUCCCUCGAGCAUCUGCGAGCCAAACGCCUGGGGCCCACACUCCGGCACGUCUAGGGACCCAGUGGCCCAUCCCUUCCCAAGCACAAGGCAAGUGGCUACCUCAGUCCCUUCCACCACGAAGAAAGAGGCACGAUGCCUAGUGCUGUAGGUCUUGUGUUAUUUGGGAAGCAACUUUUGCCUUAUUUGGAAGUGCUGCUCCAACCCCUUAACCCAAGACAAGAGGUGGCCUGCUAGGGGCCACGCACCAUGUGGGCUGCUCGGCCACUUGGACCCCAUGGUAGGGGCCACGCGCCACGUGGGCUGCUCGGCCACUUGGACCUCAUGGUAGGGGCCACGCGCCACGUGGACUGCUCGGCCACUUGGACCCCAUGGUAGGGGCCACACACCACGUGGGCUGCUCUGCCACUUGGACCCCAUGGUAGGGGCCACGCCCCAUGUGGGCUGCUCGGCCACUUGGACCCCAUGGUAGGGGCCACGCACCACGUGGGCUGCUCGGCCACUUGGACCCCAUGGUAGGGGCCACGCGCCACGUGGGCUGCUCGGCCACUUAGACCUCAUGGUAGGGGCCACGUGCCACGUGGGCUGCUCUGCCACUUGGACCUCAUGGU
rnacentral:lncRNA from 1 species